rnacentral:rRNA from 1 species
CUACCCUGGUGGACCGCCAUAACCUCGGGGAACUGAGGCUAAUAGCGGAUAGCGCUCUCGAGCUGGAACAGCCGGGAGCGUGAAACGUUCCGGCGCCACAGGAUGUGACUGCGGCCGAUUAGGUAGAUGGUGGGGUAACGGCCCACCAUGCCGAUAAUCGGUACGGGUUGUGAGAGCAAGAGCCCGGAGACGGACUCUGAGACAAGAGUCCGGGCCCUACGGGGCGCAGCAGGCGCGAAACCUUUACACUGCGCGACAGCGCGAUAGGGGGACACCGAGUGCGAGGGCAUAGAGCCCUCGCUUUUGUGUACCGUAAGGUGGUACACGAAUAAGGGCUGGGCAAGACCGGUGCCAGCCGCCGCGGUAACACCGGCAGCCCAAGUGAUGGCCGCUAUUAUUGGGCCUAAAGCGUCCGUAGCCGGCCGUUCAGGUCCGUCGGGAAAUCCACUGGCUCAACCAGUGGGCGUCCGGCGGAAACCGUUCGGCUUGGGACAGGGAGACCAGAGGGGUACGUCCGGGGUAGGAGUGAAAUCCCGUAAUCCUGGACGGACCAUCGGUGGCGAAAGCGCCUCUGGAGAACUGAUCCGACGGUGAGGGACGAAAGCUAGGGUCUCGAACCGGAUUAGAUACCCGGGUAGUCCUAGCCGUAAACGAUGCUCGCUAGGUGUGGCGC